AAAUUCUGAGAAACGUGUCUGUGAUUUAAAGUAAAACUAUUUGGGACCAUGAGUUUUUCAUUGUUUGUUUUUGUAAGUUGAUUUUAUUCGGAGUUGAUCUUAUGUUUCUUUCAAAUAUUUUUGAUUAUUCAUGAUAUGAAGGUCUUGAGUGGAGUUUCGAGAAUAAUUAGCAAACAAUGCUGAACGAAGGGAAAAAAAAAGAAUAAAGAAAAAAUGAUUAAAAAAGAAAAAUAUACAAAAAGAUUGCCAAUAGGACAAUUCUCCACAAGAGACCAAAAUGAACCAGAAAUUAACAACUUUAGGUCACAGUACGGCAUUGAACAAUGAUGAAAGCUCAUACCGCAUAGUCAGCUAUAAAUGGCCCCGAAAUGACAAUGUACAACAAUUCAAACGAGAAAACUAUCGG
rnacentral:lncRNA from 1 species